rnacentral:lncRNA from 1 species
CUUCUAUUUUUAGGACGUAAUCAUCCAAGUAACCUGGCCGUGUGACAACUCUUGUUGAUCUUCUAGGUAUUGGGCUAUCACUUUCUUCAUCUCCAUCGUCACUAUCUUCUUCAUCUUUUUCAGGUUCACUAUUUCCAGUCUCAGAUUCAGCGACUGUUACCUCUUUAUGAGUUGGUAACAUGAUCUCACACGUUACUCCAGAUGAUUUUCUCUCAAUUUUAUCCCAACUCCAAACCUUGCUUUCAUCGAAAACAACAUCGCGACUGACUACGACCUUGCGACUCCUUGGAUCAUAUAAUCUGUAUGCCUUUGUGCCUGGUUCAACCCCGAGAUGUACUAGCUCUCUAGACCUAUCAUCCAGCUUCUUAAGGAGAUGAGUGUCACGUUUAGCAUAACAUACACAACCAAAUAUACGUAGGUGCCCCACGUUGGGCUUCUUCUUCUUGAGACACUCAUAUGGACAUUGAUCCUUCAGCGUACGAGUAGCGACCCUAUUAAUCAGGUAGGUGGAGUGUCUCACAGCUUCUCCCCAUAAGUAGUGUGGCACAUUCAUAGCUUUCAUGAUACUUCUGGUCAUCUCCAUUAGUGUCCUGUUACGUCUCUCAACUACGCCAUUCUGUUGUGGAGAAUAUGGCGCGGUCAUAUGCCGUUUAAUCCCAUGCGUGUCACAAAACUCUUUGAACUCUCGAGACAUGAACUCUCCACCUCUGUCAGUACGUAACGUUUGAAUGGUAGCUCCGGUUUCUCUUUCAACGAUUUGCUUGAACUUCUUGAAGUGCUCAAGAGCCUCACUCUUUUCACUCAGCAAAAUUGACCACAUGUAUCUUGAAUGAUCAUCAAUCAAAACAAAGAUAUAUUUACUUCCUCCGGCUGUUGAUGGUAAGAUUGGUCCACAGAGAUCACCAUGAAGUAACUCUAGGACUUUUGUGGCACGGUAGGAGCUAACUUUAGGAAAAGGCGCUCUUGUUUGCUUUCCCAUAAGACAGGAGGCACAUGUUUCUUUCUCUAUACUGAUCUUUGGUAUACCAGUGAUCAACUCCUUGUUUAUCAUUGCCUUCAUGACAUCCACACCAACGUGUCCAAGCCUUCCGUGCCAUAGAGCCGAGUCACUAACCUUCUCAAGUUGGAGACACUCUGUUCCUUCAACCUCCAUUGUGAUCUUGUAUAAGCGAUUUUUUGAUCUUACUGAUUUGAGUAACACGUUUCCCUCUCGAUCACGGAGUGUUAGGUACUCCUCUCUCAUCUUAACCUCACAGCCAGACUCUGUUGCUUGACCAAGACUGAUUAUGUUACUCUUCAGUUCAGGUAUAUAAUACACAUCGGCCAAGACCUUCCGCUUUCUGUCUCUAGUAAUGAACAAAAUCGACCCCUUGCCUCUGAUGUCAAUCCUUGAGUCAUCUCCAAAGCGCACCUUUCCAGUAAUAGACUCAUCCAGACUUGUGAAAUAUUCUCGAUUCCCAGUCAUAUGAUUACUAGCUCCAUUGUCUAGAUACCAAAUAUUAUCCGCACCAGAUUGUGUCUCAAACUUACUUGGUACUACCUUCUCUUCGUUAAGAUAGAUCAGCUCAUGAACCAUCAGGUCUUCAGCCUCAUGUGUGUUGUCAUUCUCAGUUUCCUGCGCUUCCUGUAGUUUAAGUACUCGUUCAGGGCAGUCAUAGACGUAAUGUCCUGUUUUAUCACAGCGGAAGCAAACAACUCUGGAUGCAUCUCUCCCUUGCGUCCAAUCACCUGCUUGUCUCCAGUUAGUUCGACCAUUAUAUCGUCCUCUUCCACGUCCUCUGUUGUUAUAGCGACCACCUUGGCCUCUUCCUCUGCCAUAACCUUCUUGUUGUCCUCUAGGAUCAGUAUUAGUGUAUAGAAGUUUCCCUUGAUCAUCUUGUUGAUCAUCAUCCUGAACUCGUUCUUCAUAAGCCUUUAACCUUCCCACAAUAUCCUCAAAGCCUGUAGUGUUGAGGUCAAGCACUUGCUCAAGCGCAGCUACAAUAUGUAUGUAUUUCCUCUUUGGAAGACUGCUGAGGAAUUUUUUAACCAGCUUCGGUUCAUCAAGAAUCUCGCCUAAUGCUGCUGAUUUGGAGGAUAUCUCAGAAAUUUUACCAGAGAACUCAUCUAUGGUUUCUGUGUCCUUCAUCUUCAUCCUAUUGAACUCAUCCAUAAGCGUCUGUAACCUUGCCUCUCGGACCCUAUCAGCUCCUACGUUCCUUGCUUUAAUCGCAUCCCAAAUUUCCUUUGCGGUUGCUAACGUACCAACUUGAAGAACCAAACUUUCAGGGAUAGAUUGAAACAAGAAGGCUCGAGCCAUAUCACUUUUGUCUCCAUCAUCACCACCUGGAUCGAUUGCUUCCCAAACCUUAUGCACUUUGAGUAGAACGUUCAUACGCAUACUCCAAACCGUGUAGUUGGUGGUGGUGAGCAUCGGACAUUUGAUUGCCGAGGAACCAUUCUCUUUAGAUUUGAAAGGAGUUAUCGACAGAUCCGCCAUGUUUAUCUUCUCUUCUCGAACGUUUUUGAUUUCAAUAUUAAAGCUCUGAUACCAAUUAUUGAAACCAAAGAUAUGAACGUAGCUCAACAAUCAAACUCAAUAAUCUCAAACUCAAGAACUCUUUAUUGCCUUUAGAAAGUCUCAAAAACUAAAAGCUCUCAACACGUUAAGUUCUAUCACAUCAUGAUAGCUCCUUAUAUAACAACUCAUAGUUUCCUAAACUCAUUAGGAUAAACUUAACUAGAUAACUACAAACCAAGAUAUUCAAAUCCUAAUCUCAUUAGGAUAACAACAAGAUAACUUCAAGCUUAAGUUAUGUCAACAUUCUCCCCCUUAAGCUUGAUGUGUUCUUCCUUUACUUCUUGAACGCCAAUGAAGCCUCUCAUCUCUUUGAACUUGCAUCUCCCAAGUGCCUUAGUCAAGAUAUCAGCCUUCUGCUCCUUACCAGCUACAUGUUUCACGGUCACCAGCCCAUCCUCUACACACUCUCUAAUAAAAUGGAACCGUUUAUGUAUAUGCUUGCUCCUACCAUGAAACACAGGAUUCUUAGUCAAGGCUAUAGCGGAUUUGUUGUCAAUCAAUAUCAUAGCUUUGUUAGACUCGUCCACAAUCUCUCCUAGAAGCUCUUGAAGCCAAAUAGCUUGCUUUGCUGCCUCCGUCGCAGCCAUGAACUCAGCCUCGCAAGAAGACAGAGCCACGAUCUCUUGCUUCAUUGAACACCAGGAAACAGGGCACUCGUUAAAGUAGAAGAUAAAGCCGGUUGUGCUUCUUCCAUCAUUAGGAUCCACAUUGUAGCUGCUAUCACUGUAUCCUAUAAGCCCUUUCUUGUUCUCUUUUCUAUAAAACAAACCAAGAGAACAACUUCCUCGAACGUAUCUCAGCACUUGCUUUAACGCUACUGAGUGUGAGACCUUAGGAUUAUGCAUAUAUCUGCUCAGAACCCCUACACUGUAGGCAAGAUCAGGACGUGUAUGAAUCAAAUACCUAAGACACCCAACGUUCUUCCUAAACUCUGUCUCGUUGACGUCUUCUUCUUCUUCUGCCUUAGAUAGUUUUACGCCUGAGUCCAUCGGGAUUUGGACUGCAUUACACUCAUUCAUCCCUGCCUCUUCUAAGAUCUUUAACGCAUAUCGUUCUUGCUUCAAAACAAUGCCAAGCUCAGACUGGAUCACUUCGAUCCCUAAGUAGUAGGUAAGCUUGCCAAGAUCAGUCAUUUCAAAUUUUGCCGCCAUCUCUGUUUUAAACUCUCGUAUGAUCUCCACGCAAGAUCCAGUUACCAAAAGAUCAUCUACGUAAACAGCAACUAACAACUCACGCCCAUUCGUUCUUUUCUUGAAAAGCGAUGGUUCCUUAGAACACUUACUGAAGUUUAACUCUUUAAGAAUUGACUUCAGUUUGAUGUUCCAAGCUCUUGGAGCUUGUUUUAGACCAUAGAGAGCUUUAUGAAGCUUGUACACCUUAUCUUCGCUUCCUCUUUUCUUGAAACCAUCAGGUUGAGACACAUAUACUUCUUCAGCCAAAUCUCCAUGCAAGAAUGCUGUCUUCACAUCUAGAUGGUGAACUUCCCAUCCAUUGGAUGCCGCCAAUGCAAGUAUAACUCGGACAGUCUCUAUCCUUGCGACAGGGGCAAACACUUCUUCGUAGUCAAUACCAUGUCGUUGUACGUAGCCUUUAGCUACAAGUCUUGGUUUGUAUUUACUUAUACUUCCAUCCGCAUUGCGCUUUAUUUUAAAAACCCACUUCAAUCCAAUAGCUUUACAUCCAGCAGGAAGCUCAACCAGUGUCCAUGUCUUGUUCUUCUUUAUAGAAGCUAUCUCAUCUUCACAAGCUUCUCUCCAAACUUUCUCAUGCUUCGCCUCGUUCCAGUCCCAUGGUUCCUCAUUGAUGAGUAAAAGAAGUCUCUCAGUCUCGUCCACUUCUAUUUUUAGGACGUAAUCAUCCAAGUAACCCGGCCGUGUGAUAACUCUUGUUGAUCUUCUAGGUAUUGGGCUAUCGCUCUCCUCAUCCCCACUGUCACUAUCUUCUUCAUCUUGUUCAGCUUCACUAUCUCCAGUCUCAGAUUCAGCGACUGUUACCUCUUUAUGAGUUGGUAACGUGAUCUCACACGUUACUCCAGAAGAUUUCUUCUCAAUUUUAUCCCAACUC